rnacentral:rRNA from 1 species
UCUCCUGGAAAACGGGUGGUAAUGCCGGAUGCUCCAUCACACCGCAUGGUGUGUUGGGAAAGCCUUUGCGGCAUGGGAUGGGGUCGCGUCCUAUCAGCUUGAUGGCGGGGUAACGGCCCACCAUGGCUUCGACGGGUAGCCGGCCUGAGAGGGCGACCGGCCACAUUGGGACUGAGAUACGGCCCAGACUCCUACGGGAGGCAGCAGUGGGGAAUAUUGCACAAUGGGCGCAAGCCUGAUGCAGCGACGCCGCGUGAGGGAUGGAGGCCUUCGGGUUGUAAACCUCUUUUGUUAGGGAGCAAGGCAUUUUGUGUUGAGUGUACCUUUCGAAUAAGCACCGGCUAACUACGUGCCAGCAGCCGCGGUAAUACGUAGGGUGCAAGCGUUAUCCGGAAUUAUUGGGCGUAAAGGGCUCGUAGGCGGUUCGUCGCGUCCGGUGUGAAAGUCCAUCGCUUAACGGUGGAUCCGCGCCGGGUACGGGCGGGCUUGAGUGCGGUAGGGGAGACUGGAAUUCCCGGUGUAACGGUGGAAUGUGUAGAUAU